rnacentral:sRNA from 1 species
AAGAUUUUGAAUUUGUAUUGAUACAACCUUAUUUACCAACAGACUAUUCAGGUUUCCCUGCUUUUCAGAAUGUUAGAUUAGCCAAUGUUGUAUUCAUUGCAGGAAUUAUGUAAAAAUUUAAUGUUAAAAGUACGGCAAUGAUGAAUAUUUGUAAUGAACCAAUAAGAUGAAUUUUAUCAGGAUGCUCUCAAACCGUUCAUUUUCUACUUGGACCACCUCAAUUUAUGCAUGAAAAAAAAAAUCAUGCUACAUUCCAGUGUGUUACUUUAUCCAAAACUUGAAAAUUAGAAAUAGAAUGUUGAAAUUUUUUUGUUGCUUACAAGUUGCCUUGCACUAUAUUCAGUAAUUCAUGUUGAUUUGAACAAAGUGAGAAAUGGAAUCCGGUGUAAUCAAGCAAUAUUGGUUCUGGAAAAUAGUGCACCAAUCUUUCCAAUUCUAAUUUAUGCUUUUUGGUUUUAAUUAGUAACUAAAGGUUUAUAAUUUUACAUAAGGAUCCCCAAAACAGUUUCCUAGUCAAUUCUGAUCAAUCAAAAUAUUCAAAUAUACAAUUUUAUUUUAUUAUAAUUAUUAUUUUUGAAAAAGAUACAGAAUUAAAGGUUGAAUAUUGUUUGUUAUUUUCAUUUAUCAUUUUAAAAAAUGCACUCCUUAGUACCAUUUUGAAUUGUAUCGGUAAAUAGUUUAUGGGUUUUUUUUUCAGGCUAAAAUUGUUUUUUUAAGUCUUGAAUAUUUAAGUUGAUUUUACAGAUUACAAACAUUAUACAUGUACCGGGUAUGUAAAAUUUUGCUAAACACCUCUGAGUACAUACACUUAAAUUGAAAGGAUCGACUUCUGUGUACCAAUUCUGAACAGCUAUAUAACAAUUUAUGUAUCAUAUUGAUUAUGCCAAGCAUUUUGCUUUUAUUGAAGCUUAUUCAACAGAUUUUAAUUAACAACGAAUUCCUGUUCAAUUUUUCAUUAUUUUAAAAAGUUGAAGUGGUUUUAAAAACAGUUUUCAAUCACCUGAUAACUCUGGAAGUUAGUUUAUUUUCUACUCUACUCGACCAAGCUCAAUUUCAAAGCAUCUGCUUUAAAGAUGUUGUAGAAUUUAUGUCAUUCUGCUUUUAUGAAAUUGUUGUUGAUUUGAUUCAAUCAUGGCAAAAGAAUUAUGUAGCAGAGUAAAAUCAUGCCAACUUCAUUUAUCUAUAGUGCAAUUACAAUAAAUUGGAUUUGGUGUUU